CUGAGUUGAAUAUGGAGGCCUAUGUGCAGCCCCCAGUUGCACAGCUGCUUAGUCAGCAAGGCUGGGAAAUCCAGAGUAACUAGAGCCAGGCCUAGGGAGAGGGCGCUGUGCAAGCUGGGGCUUGAAGACAAGUCAGAUUUGAACAGAUGGGUAGAAAAAAGGGGGGGUAUUCUGAACCAAAGGAUUGAAUAUAGGGAAUAGGUCCCAUAUCUCUUCUUGCUUCUGAGAGUAUUUUAUACAGCAGGUGGAUGGCUUCUCUUGGUUGCCUCUUACUUUAUUUUGAAUCUGUUUGCAAAAUAUGCUGUCACCUGCCCUCCCCCACCAUAUAAUCUUUUAUCUAAACAAGAUUUCAUAUCCUGGUUUGCUAAAAUAGACAGUCCUGUGACGGUUACAGGUAAACACCAUCACUGUAUGAGUUAUUUAGAAAAGUCUCCAAUUUUCACUUUAUCGGCCCUAGGAUGGAUAUGGGUGAACUAUGCAAGAGUCAUUUGCUCCAGGAGGUGAUACAGCAGCUGACCCAGCUUUGAAGUAGAAACAUUACAAAUCCUCCAGCUUGUAACUGUCUCUUUAGCUGUAACUCAGAGAUUCUCUGGUUCUACCUUUCAGCAUCCUAGGUGUCAUAGCCAUUUGCGAGGAUGAUGCUAGGCAGCAGAGAGACAGUCUACUGAAAGGCAGGAGCCUUGGACUUGCUCCUAUCCCAGUGGGGAUGGGGUAGGGAAGACAUUUGAGUACUUGCUGUAGACUGCUCACCUCCUUUGAGGGUCUUCCUUCUCUAUCCACAGCCUUCCCCCAUUCCCUGAGUGCAACACUCUUCUGAGUUGAUGUCAGGCUGGCAAGAGCCAUGAGUUGGCAGAACCAACUUGGGUCCUUCAGCUUUGUCAUUAUCUCAUCUAAAUGCAGCUGAAACAAUCUCAAGCCCAUAGCCCAAAAGAAUGUGAGACACAUGACACAUGUAGUCACACUAAAAAAGAGUAAAGAAACCAGUGACAUUAAUUCUAAUAACAUUUUAAAAAUCCAAUAGAUUUCAAACACUAUAAUUCCC
rnacentral:lncRNA from 1 species